UACGAAGGGGGCUAGCGUUGUUCGGAAUCACUGGGCGUAAAGCGUAUGUAGGCGGAUUGUUAAGUCAGGGGUGAAAUCCCGAGGCUCAGCCUCGGAACUGCCUUUGAUACUGGCUGUCUUGAGUCCGGGAGAGGUGAGUGGAACUCCUAGUGUAGAGGUGAAAUUCGUAGAUAUUAGGAAGAACACCAGUGGCGAAGGCGGCUCACUGGCCCGGAACUGACGCUGAAAUACGAAAGCGUGGGGAGCAAACAGG
rnacentral:rRNA from 1 species